UGGCAUACGGCUCAGUAACACGUAGUCAACAUGCCCAGGGGACGUGGAUAACCUCGGGAAACUGAGGAUAAACCGCGAUAGGCCAUGAUUUCUGGAAUGGUUCAUGGCCGAAAUCUAUAUGGCCCCUGGAUUGGACUGCGGCCGAUCAGGCUGUUGGUGAGGUAAUGGCCCACCAAACCUGUAACCGGUACGGGCUCUGAGAGGAGGAGCCCGGAGAUGGGCACUGAGACAAGGGCCCAGGCCCUAUGGGGCGCAGCAGGCGCGAAAUCUCUGCAAUAGGCGAAAGCUUGACAGGGUUACUCUGAGUGGUUCCCGCUAAGGGUAUCUUUUGGCACCUCUAAAAAUGGUGCAGAAUAAGGGGUGGGCAAGUCUGGUGUCAGCCGCCGCGGUAAUACCAGCACCCCGAGUUGUCGGGACGAUUAUUGGGCCUAAAGCAUCCGUAGCCUGUUCUGCAAGUCCUCCGUUAAAUCCACCUGCUCAACGGAUGGGCUGCGGAGGAUACCGCAGAGCUAGGAGGCGGGAGAGGCAAACGGUACUCAGUGGGUAGGGGUAAAAUCCAUUGAUCUACUGAAGACCACCAGUGGCGAAGGCGGUUUGCCAGAACGCGCUCGACGGUGAGGGAUGAAAGCUGGGGGAGCAAACCGGA
rnacentral:rRNA from 1 species